rnacentral:rRNA from 1 species
UACGGAGGGUGCAAGCGUUAUCCGGAUUUACUGGGUUUAAAGGGUGCGUAGGUGGGUUGGUAAGUCAGUGGUGAAAUCUCCGAGCUUAACUCGGAAACUGCCAUUGAUACUAUCAAUCUUGAAUAUCCUGGAGGUGAGCGGAAUAUGUCAUGUAGCGGAUGAAAUGCUUAGAUAUGACAUAGAACACCAAUUGCGAAGGCAGCUCACUACGGGGUCAUUGACACUGAGGCACGAAAGCGUGGGGAUCAAACAGG